UUCUGUGUCUGGACAGCACCAGGCACAACAGGGCCGCGAUCCAUCAAUGGAGCUCCUUGGUGAUGUCACAAUACAAAGAAUAUAUAACAACAAUGCAUGGAAGGGGAAGAUGACAUUAAGAACAGAUAAAGACACAGUGUGAUCAGUUGUUUGGUUGGGGUUUUAUUAAGGACAAAAAGGGGAGCUCCAGCAGCAGCAGGAGCAGCGGCAAAAGCUCAAGUGGCUCCUUUGAUGAGGUGCUAGAAUGAUGCUCAAUGGCCAACUCUGAAAACUCUCCCUUUGCAAGGUGGCUUGCUCGCAGCACUGAAAACUGAAGGCACAGGCCUCCAAUAUCCAAGCUCCUCGCGCCUGUCCCAGGCGGCCUGGCAUCAAGCAAGUUCUGCCUUUAUGAUGCAAUACCUGGAACUAGGGACAUUUCCACACGGACAGCAAGGACAUGAAUAUCGUGUGUAUGCAGGGCCAGAGGGGGAAUUAUAAACGCAUUUUUGGCGAAAUUCAAUAAAGCUGAUUCCACCGCAUAAGAUGAGGAUGCUGAGACCCAGAGAGCUUAUGUUACUUGCCGCAGAUCAUGCAAGAAGUCCAUGGCAGAGACAGAAAUAGAACCUGGAUCUCCUGACACCUGGUCUGAGCUAUAACCAUCACACCAGCCUACCUCUAGCUGCCCUGUAUUUAUUCUCUCACUCAAGGAUAUCCACAGCUAAAUUUCUUAAAUACAUACAUCAAAAGAUGACUUUCCUAACUGUCACUGCUGCAAUCUCAACCUAGGGUCUGAAGAUCUAGGUUUGUUCUCUCUGCCCAGCAUCAUCAAUACUAAAGAUUCAAAACUCAGAAUUUAGUUGACAAUUUGAUCCAGAAUGGAAUCCAGCUCACUCUGCCAUAGUGGUAUGAGCUCUGCAGUACUAACAGGAAUGGAAACAAGGUUUUGACAGUAAACAAGGCAAGUGUGACUCAAAACACACACAAGAAGCAAAAG